rnacentral:rRNA from 1 species
UACGUAGGUGGCAAGCGUUGUCCGGAAUUAUUGGGCGUAAAGCGCGCGCAGGCGGUCCUUUAAGUCUGAUGUGAAAGCCCACGGCUCAACCGUGGAGGGUCAUUGGAAACUGGGGGACUUGAGUACAGAAGAGAAGAGUGGAAUUCCACGUGUAGCGGUGAAAUGCGUAGAGAUGUGGAGGAACACCCGUAGCGAAGGCGGCACUCUGGGCCGAUACUGACACUGAGGAGCGAAAGCGUGGGGAGCGAACAGG